rnacentral:tRNA from 3 species
GGGCGGUUAGCUCAGCUGGUUAGAGCGACUGGUUUACACCCAGUAGGUCGGCGGUUCGAUCCCGUCACCGCCCACCA